UUUUUUUUUUUUUUUUUUUUGUAUUCACUUUUGAGGUCUUAUUUAUAAAUUAUUUUCCUAAAUCCAUGACCAGAAGAGUUUCUCCUUGAUUUUCUUCUGGAAUUUUUAUAGUUUCAGGCUUUACAUUUAGGUCUUUAAUCCAUUUUUAGUUAAUUUUUGUAUAUCAUGAUAGGUGAAGGUCCAGAUUUAUUCUUCUGCAUAUGGCUGGCCAAUUCAUUCAACACCAAUUAGUGGAAAAGGAGUUCUUUCUUCAUUGCUUAUUUAUGCUGGUUUUGUUGAAGGUCAGUUGGUCAUAGAUGCAUGGCUUUAUUUCAGGAUUUUCUAAUCUGUUCCAGUGACCUGUGUGUCUAUUUUUGUACUAGUACAAUGCUGUUUUAGUUUUGAUUUUAAUUUUUGUGAGUACAUAGUAGGUGUAUAUACUUGUGAAGUAAAUUAGAUGUUUUGGUACAGGCACACAAUGCAUAAUAAACACAUCAUAGAAAAUGGAGUAUCCAUUCCCUGAAGUAUAUAUCUUUUGUGUUACAAACAAUCCAAUUAUAACUCUUUUUAGGUACUCUAAACUGUGCAACUGAAUUAUUGUGUUAGACUGUUCUCACAUGGUUAUAAAGAAAUACCUAAGACUGGGUAAUUUAUAAAGAAAGAAAGUUUUGACGCAGCUGACAUUGUCUCCUCCACAUGACUGUUACAGCGGUCUCCAGAGCCUUUUCUCUCCUGUACAAAAUGGCAACUCUUAAGGAAAAACUCACUGCACCAGUUGCGGAAGAAGAGGCAACAGUCCAAAACAAUAAGAUCACUGCAGUGAGUUUUGGACUAGUUGGUAUGUCAUGUGCUAUCUGCGUUCUGGGAAAGUCUCUGGCUGAUGACCUUGCUCUUGUGGAUGUUUUGGAAGGUAAGCUUAAGGGAGAAAUGAUCAAUCCGCAGCAUGGGAGUUUAUUUCUCCAGACACUUAAAAUUGUGGCAGAUAAAGAUUGUUCUGUGACCGCCAGUUCUAAGAUUGUAGUGGUAACUGCAGGAGUCCGUCAGCAAGAGGGGGAGAGGCAUCUCAAUUUGGUGCAGAAAAAUGUUAAUGUCUUCAAAUUCAUUAUUCCUCAGAUGGUCAAGUUCACUCCUGAAUGCCUCAUAAUUGUGGUUUCCAACCUAGUAGACAUUCUUAUAUAUGUUACCUGGAAAAUAAGUGGAUUACCCAAAGUGUGAUUGGAAGUGGAUGUAAUCCGGAUUCUGCUAGAUUUCACUGCCUUAUGGCUGAAAACCUUGGCAUUCAUCCCAGCAGCUGCCAUGUAUGGAUUUUGGGGGAACAUAGCGACUCAAAUGUGACUGUGUGGAUUGGCGUGAAUGUGGCAGGUUUUUCUCUCCAGGAAUUGAAUCCAGAAAUAGGAACUGACGAUGACAGUGAAAAUUGGAAGGAAGUGCAUAAGAUAGUGGUUGAAAGUGCCCAUGAAGUCAUCAAGCUAAAAGGAUAUACCAACUGGGCUAUUGGAUUAAGUGUGACUGGUCUUAUUGAAUCCGUGAUGAAUAAUCUACCCAGGAUUCAUCCCAUGUCAACAAUGGUAAAGGGGAUGUAUGGCAUCGAGAACGAAGUCUUCCUGAGCCUUCUGUGUAUCCUCAACGCCCUGGGAUUAACCAGCACUAUCAACCAGAAGCUAAAGGAUAAUGAGGUUGCUCAGUUCAAGAAAAGUACAGAUACCCUGUGGGACAUCCAGAAGGACCUAAAAGACCUGUGACUACUGAGCUCUAGGCUGUAGAAGUUUAAAAACUACAAUAUGAUUAACUCUGAGCCUUUAGUUUUCAUCCAUUUACAUGGAUCACAGUUUGCUUUGAUCUUCUUCAACAUGUGAAUUUGGGCUCACAGAAUCAAAGCCUAUGCUUGGUUUAAUGCUUGCAAUGAGUUCUUGAACAAAUAAAA